rnacentral:rRNA from 1 species
CGCCCGGAUCGGAUGAUCUACGCCAUGCGAGUCAUUGUAGUAAUACAAGGCAGACGGCUCAGUAACGCGUAGUCAACCUACCCUAUGGACGGGAAUAACCUCGGGAAACUGAGUAUAAUGCCCGAUAGAACAUUAUGCCUGGAAUGGUUUAUGUUCCAAAUGAUUUAUCGCCGUAGGAUGGGACUGCGGCCUAUCAGUUUGUUGGUGAGGUAAUGGCCCACCAAGACUAUUACAGGUACGGGCUCUGAGAGGAGUGGCCCGGAGAUGGGUACUGAGACACGGACCCAGGCCCUAUGGGGCGCAGCAGGCGAGAAAACUUUGCAAUGUGCGAAAGCACGACAAGGUUAAUCCGAGUGGUUUCUGCUAAAGAAACCUUUUGUCAGUCCUAGAAACACUGAUGAAUAAGGGGUGGGCAAGUUCUGGUGUCAGCCGCCGCGGUAAAACCAGCACCUCAAGUGGUCAGGAUGAUUAUUGGGCCUAAAGCAUCCGUAGCCGGCUCUGUUAGUUUUCGGUUAAAUCUGUACGCUCAACGUACAGGCUGCCGGGAAUACUGCAGAGCUAGGGAGUGGGAGAGGUAGACGGUACUCGGUAGGAAGGGGUAAAAUCCUUUGAUCUAUUGAUGACCACCUGUGGCGAAGGCGGUCUACCAGAACACGUCCGACGGUGAGGGAUGAAAGCUGGGGGAGCAAACCGGAUUAGAUACCCGGGUAGUCCCAGCUGUAAACUAUGCAAACUCAGUGAUGCAUUGGCUUGUGGCCAAUGCAGUGCUGCAAGGAAGCCCGUUAGUUUGCCGCCUGGGAAGUACGUACGCCAGUAUGAAACUCAAAUGAUUUGAC